rnacentral:rRNA from 1 species
GGGUGUGACUGCGUACCUUUUGUAUAAUGGGUCAGCGACUUAUAUUCUGUAGCAAGGUUAACCGUAUAGGGGAGCCGUAGGGAAACCGAGUCUUAACCGGGCGUUAAGUUGCAGGGUAUAGACCCGAAACCCGGUGAUCUAGCCAUGGGCAGGUUGAAGGUUGGGUAACACUAACUGGAGGACCGAACCGACUAAUGUUGAAAAAUUAGCGGAUGACCUGUGGCUGGGGGUGAAAGGCCAAUCAAACCGGGAGAUAGCUGGUUCUCCCCGAAAGCUAUUUAGGUAGCGCCUCGUGAAUUCAUCUCCGGGGGUAGAGCACUGUUUCGGCUAGGGGGCCAUCCCGGCUUACCAACCCGAUGCAAACUGCGAAUACCGGAGAAUGUUAUCACGGGAGACACACGGCGGGUGCUAACGUCCGUCGUGAAGAGGGAAACAACCCAGACCGCCAGCUAAGGUCCCAAAGUCAUGGUUAAGUGGGAAACGAUGUGGGAAGGCCCAGACAGCCAGGAUGUUGGCUUAGAAGCAGCCAUCAUUUAAAGAAAGCGUAAUAGCUCACUGGUCGAGUCGGCCUGCGCGGAAGAUGUAACGGGGCUAAACCAUGCACCGAAGCUGCGGCAGCGAACGUAUCACUUAAAGCGAUUCAGCGGAUGACGAUUGACGGAGCGAAGCGACGUCAAAGCGUAUACAAAGUCGAGUCGGUUUAAGGAUACGUUCGUUGGGUAGGGGAGCGUUCUGUAAGCCUGUGAAGGUGGCCUGUGAGGGUUGCUGGAGGUAUCAGAAGUGCGAAUGCUGACAUAAGUAACGAUAAAGCGGGUGAAAAGCCCGCUCGCCGGAAGACCAAGGGUUCCUGUCCAACGUUAAUCGGGGCAGGGUGAGUCGACCCCUAAGGCGAGGCCGAAAGGCGUAGUCGAUGGGAAACGGGUUAAUAUUCCCGUACUUGGUGUUACUGCGAAGGGGGGACGGAGAAGGCUAUGUUGGCCGGGCGACGGUUGUCCCGGUUUAAGCGUGUAGGUGUGUGUUCCAGGUAAAUCCGGUUCACUUUAACACUGAGGCGUGAUGACGAGGCACUACGGUGCUGAAGCAACAAAUGCCCUGCUUCCAGGAAAAGCCUCUAAGCAUCAGGUAACAUCAAAUCGUACCCCAAACCGACACAGGUGGUCAGGUAGAGAAUACCAAGGCGCUUGAGAGAACUCGGGUGAAGGAACUAGGCAAAAUGGUGCCGUAACUUCGGGAGAAGGCACGCUGACACGUAGGUGAAGUGAUUUACUCAUGGAGCUGAAGUCAGUCGAAGAUACCAGCUGGCUGCAACUGUUUAUUAAAAACACAGCACUGUGCAAACACGAAAGUGGACGUAUACGGUGUGACGCCUGCCCGGUGCCGGAAGGUUAAUUGAUGGGGUCAGCGCAAGCGAAGCUCCUGAUCGAAGCCCCGGUAAACGGCGGCCGUAACUAUAACGGUCCUAAGGUAGCGAAAUUCCUUGUCGGGUAAGUUCCGACCUGCACGAAUGGCGUAAUGAUGGCCAGGCUGUCUCCACCCGAGACUCAGUGAAAUUGAACUCGCUGUGAAGAUGCAGUGUACCCGCGGCAAGACGGAAAGACCCCGUGAACCUUUACUAUAGCUUGACACUGAACAUUGAGCCUUGAUGUGUAGGAUAGGUGGGAGGCUUUGAAGUGUGGACGCCAGUCUGCAUGGAGCCGGCCUUGAAAUACCACCCUUUAAUGUUUGAUGUUCUAACGUGGACCCGUUACCCGGGUUGCGGACAGUGUCUGGUGGGUAGUUUGACUGGGGCGGUCUCCUCCUAAAGAGUAACGGAGGAGCACGAAGGUUGGCUAAUCCUGGUCGGACAUCAGGAGGUUAGUGCAAUGGCAUAAGCCAGCUUGACUGCGAGCGUGACGGCGCGAGCAGGUGCGAAAGCAGGUCAUAGUGAUCCGGUGGUUCUGAAUGGAAGGGCCAUCGCUCAACGGAUAAAAGGUACUCCGGGGAUAACAGGCUGAUACCGCCCAAGAGUUCAUAUCGACGGCGGUGUUUGGCACCUCGAUGUCGGCUCAUCACAUCCUGGGGCUGAAGUAGGUCCCAAGGGUAUGGCUGUUCGCCAUUUAAAGUGGUACGCGAGCUGGGUUUAGAACGUCGUGAGACAGUUCGGUCCCUAUCUGCCGUGGGCGCUGGAGAACUGAGGGGGGCUGCUCCUAGUACGAGAGGACCGGAGUGGACGCAUCACUGGUGUUCGGGUUGUCAUGCCAAUGGCACUGCCCGGUAGCUAAAUGCGGAAGAGAUAAGUGCUGAAAGCAUCUAAGCACGAAACUUGCCCCGA